rnacentral:lncRNA from 1 species
ACCCCUAUUCCAUUUUCAUAUAUCUGUUGUCCUUCUCCUACUGUUUUGGCAGCGGCGUCGGCUGUCCCGCUGAGUUUUGCGCUGCGAAUUGGGGAAUAUUCGAAUCGGAUUUUCUCGGAUGAUGAGAGAUCAGAGCAAGGAGGGGUGUCAAUGGGAUACAUGAAACAGUCACAGCAACAGACGCAGUUAGUGCUCUUAUUCCCAUGUUCCUCCUGUCUUUGCUGCUACGUGUAAGAACUCCCCCUGCUCCUUUGUGUGAGGUACUCUUUCUGUUUUUAUGUUCUUUUUGUGUAUUUGUUUACACUAAUUUUUAAUUUAAAACAAUUUUGUGUAUUAAAUCUGUUAUUGAUUCCUGUUCAUUCUUCUUCAAUCUCCAACCAUGGUGCUCGAGGUUCGUCCCUUCCAUUAAUAUAUAUAUAAUAAAAUUUCUUUUUUGCCCAUAAAAAAAACUUAAAAAAGACAUAAAAAUAAGCAGCAUAUUCCAUUUGCCUCAUAUGUAGAACUUUUCAUGCAUGCAGAUUUCUAUUUUACUUGAUUGUGUGGAAAUGAAGAACAAUAGUCUUCUUCUCCUUCAAUUUCUGAUUGACUUGUCAAAUUUGUUAAUGAAUAUUAAGGAUCACAAAAAAUUAUAUUGAUUUAUUUAUUUAUUCAGAUAAUUUUUUAAAUUAUAAAAUCUGUUGUUAAUUAAGUUGUUUUUUUUUUUGAAGUCCUACUUUUUUGGAAAUUAUAAUAUAAUUUCAUAAUUAAAUACCCCAGAGAAAAAACAUAAUUAAACACGUGAUUAAAUGAAAGAAAAAUAUUCUUCAAAUAUUCCAACCGCUGUUUUUGACAUUCUCUAUAAAAACAUAAGGAAUAAAAGUCUUUUUGGAUGUGGAUCUGAAUGUGAAAUCCCAAUCUGAAUGCAAUAAUAGUUAUUCCUUCAUCUAGAAGCACAAAAGAACCAGUACAAUUAUAUUCAAGGACAUCAUCAUAUAUAUUCUUGCAUAUAUAGUUGCAAAAUUAUGAUUAUUUAACAAAAUAAUGACUAAAAUAAGUCUUCAAAAUAAUAAUGACUAGUAUUAAUAUAUAAUGACUUAACAAAAUAAUAAUAAGUCUUAAUGACUUAACAUUUGAAUGCAAUAAUAGGUAUUUCAUGGCAGCUUCUCUUUAAAAGAUGACUAAGUAUUAACUCAUUUAAAGAUUUAAGUUAGUAGAGUGAUCUAUAUUUUUGGGAAAAACUCUUAAUAUAGAUUUUUUUUUUAAAAAAAGAAAUUUACAUCUUUAAGUUCUUCAUAUUUCUAAUCAUUGGGUACACUCAAUUAAGGGUGGAAAUGAAUCUAGUCGAGCCGAGUAUUGAGUUACUCAGAUUUUAUUCACAAAAUUUAUCGAGUAUAAAAUAAGAUUUGAUAAAGGUUCAUUUAGCUACCGAAUCGCACGAUCUCGAAUCGAGCCCAAACAGUUUGAUCUUUUCUGACGAAUAUGAUCCGAGUAUUAAUAAAAAAUCGUAAUUUGAAGAGUUUCGAGUAAUUUAUCGAAUUUUAAAAUUUGUUCAUAUUUAACUUAUUUAUAUAUAUAUUUCGAGUCGAGCUCAAAUCGAAUUUUUAGUCGAGUGAGUAUAAAUCGAACAAAUAUUUGAAUAAAUAUCUUAGUACAUUACUCAAUAAUAUUUUCUUGAACUUGAAGAUACUACUAAUAAAUAUUUGAGGUCUUAUAUACAUAUCAAAACUGUCUAACAUAUUUUGAUGUGAGAUGAGGAUGUUACAAAAUCCUUACCCAAAUAUUAUUUGAAGCUGAAGGGUUUGUUUGGAAUAUCACUAAGAAUGCAUUCUUUCAUUCAUUUGUUUUAUUUUAUUUGAUUCCCAACUUUUCAAGAAAGUCAAAUCCAUACCCUACCUUAACAUGGAUCAACCAACUGAUAGAAAUUCCAUCAACAUUUUGAACCACAAAAGAUCUUCUACCAUAUCAUGUUUCCUUAUAAUCUUAUUUCCACAGGUCUUCCGAUGUGAACAAAAUCUGUAACCUCCUGCGAGUUUGUGAUCAAUGAGAACAUUCUCAAAAAAUUCGACUACAGGAGUCCAGCUGGUAAGAUAAUAAUAGCCACCAAAUCAAAUCAAAAGCAAAUUAUAACUAGUGAAGUUGUAAAAUCUUCAUGAUCAAAUUAAUCAAAACCAGAUAAAUUUAUUUUUUUAAAAAAAACUCUUUUUGCUGAUGACAGAAAAAACAAAAAACCUCAGCAAUUGACGCAGUGGUUCAAGGUCGCCCUGAGAUCUUAAGUUCGACUUUCACUUGUAACAAUUGUCAAGGCAGAAAUGCUCAUAGGGCCACGGACCGUCAACGCAGGCUGGUUCAAAGAAAAAGGUUGGUCCGGAAUGGGAGAUUAGUUCGAUUGCAGUUUGAAAACCUACAUCUAACUUCUUUUUACAAAAGAGAUUGUACCUAACAAACAAAACAAGACCAAAUAUACAAAAAUGAAACCAGAAUAAAUUACUGCACAAAUUUCCCCCUAAAUAUUCAACUUUUCAUAUGAAAAUCUUUAUGUUACUUCUGAACUUCUUAUCAUACUGGUUAUUCUUACAAUAUAAACCUAAAUAAACCCUUCUUCAUUAUCAACAACAAACGGAGCAUACCAACUUUAAUUAACAAUUAACAUCACUAAUUCUCCAUUUUCAUGUUUCAAGUAGUUAUUGUAAAAACAACGGUUAAAGGAAAUAGGAAAGUACUACUUCGCUGGGAAACAAAAAAAAUUAAUAUGCAAAUCGGACAAAGCAGUCAAAUGAACAACUUGCCAUAAAAUAACAGUCAAAAUCACCUUAAAAUCAAAGAAUAAAAUAUGAUCAAACAGUUUAUCUCUAU